rnacentral:rRNA from 1 species
CUAGCGACUUCAGAGUUUGAUCCUGGCUCAGGAUGAACGCUAGCUACAGGCUUAACACAUGCAAGUCGAGGGGCAGCAUUAGGUAGCAAUACUGAGAUGGCGACCGGCGCACGGGUGCGUAACGCGUAUCCAACCUUCCCGUUACUCUCGGAUAGCCUUCCGAAAGGGAGAUUAAUACGAGAUGGUGUUUGAAUUCCGCAUGUUAUUCAAACUAAAGAUUCAUCGGUAACGGAUGGGGAUGCGUGACAUUAGGUAGAUGGCGGGGUAACGGCCCACCAUGCCCACGAUGUCUAGGGGUUCUGAGAGGAAGGUCCCCCACACUGGAACUGAGACACGGUCCAG